rnacentral:rRNA from 1 species
GUGGGGAAUUUUGGACAAUGGGCGCAAGCCUGAUCCAGCCAUGCCGCGUGCAGGAUGAAGGCCUUCGGGUUGUAAACUGCUUUUGUACGGAACGAAAAGACUCUUUCUAAUAAAGAGAGUUCAUGACGGUACCGUAAGAAUAAGCACCGGCUAACUACGUGCCAGCAGCCACGGUAAUACGUAGGGUGCGAGCGUUAAUCGGAAUUACUGGGCGUAAAGCGUGCGCAGGCGGUGAUGUAAGACAGAUGUGAAAUCCCCGGGCUCAACCUGGGAACUGCAUUUGUGACUGCAUCGCUGGAGUGCGGCAGAGGGGGAUGGAAUUCCGCGUGUAGCAGUGAAAUGCGUAGAUAUGCGGAGGAACACCGAUGGCGAAGGCAAUCCCCUGGGCCUGCACUGACGCUCAUGCACGAAAGCGUGGGGAGCAAACAGGAUUAGAAACCCGUGUAGUCC